rnacentral:rRNA from 1 species
AUUGCCCUAGUAACGGCGAGUGAAGCGGCAACAGCUCAAAUUUGAAAUCUGGCCUCGGCCCGAGUUGUAAUUUGCAGAGGAUGCUUCUGGCGCGGUGCCUUCCGAGUUCCCUGGAACGGGACGCCACAGAGGGUGAGAGCCCCGUAUGGUCGGACACCAAGCCUGUGUGAAGCUCCUUCGACGAGUCGAGUAGUUUGGGAAUGCUGCUCUAAAUGGGAGGUAAAUCUCUUCUAAAGCUAAAUACCGGCCAGAGACCGAUAGCGCACAAGUAGAGUGAUCGAAAGAUGAAAAGCACCUUGAAAAGGGGGUUAAAUAGUACGUGAAAUUGUUGAAAGGGAAGCACUUAUGACCAGACUUGGGCCGGGCGGCUCAUCAGGGGUUCUCCCCUGUGCACUCCGCCCGGCACAGGCCAGCAUCGGUUCUCGUGGGGGGAUAAGACCGUCGGGAACGUAGCACCCUCCGGGGUGUGUUAUAGCCCGGCGGACGAUACCCUCGUGGGGACCGAGGUUCGCGCUCCGCAAGGAUGCUGGCGUAAUGGUCAUCAGUGACCCGUCUUGAAACACGGACCAAGGAGUCGUCCAUUAGAGCGAGCGUUUGGGUGUAAAACCCGCACGCGUAAUGAAAGUGAACGCAGGUGAGAGCUUCGGCGCAUCAUCGACCGAUCCUGAUGUUCUCGGAAGGAUUUGAGUAAGAGUUUUAACGGACGGACCCGAAAGACAGUGAACUAUGCUUGUAUAGGGUGAAGCCAGAGGAAACUCUGGUGGAGGCUCGCAGCGGUUCUGACGUGCAAAUCGAUCGUCAAAUAUGAGCAUGGGGGCGAAAGACUAAUCGAACU